rnacentral:rRNA from 1 species
UACGAAGGGGGCUAGCGUUGCUCGGAAUCACUGGGCGUAAAGCGCACGUAGGCGGCUUUGUAAGUCAGGGGUGAAAUCCCGGGGCUCAACCUCGGAACUGCCUUUGAUACUGCAAAUCUCGAGUCCGAUAGAGGUGGGUGGAAUUCCUAGUGUAGAGGUGAAAUUCGUAGAUAUUAGGAAGAACACCGGUGGCGAAGGCGGCCCACUGGAUCGGUACUGACGCUGAGGUGCGAAAGCGUGGGGAGCAAACAGG